UUGCAAAAGUAGUGAAAGAGAGGUUUAAUGUUGUAGCAACUUCUGUGCCUUGUGAGAGGGUCUUCUCAAAAACAGGACAUUUAAUAAAUGACAGAAGAACCCGCCUCAAGCCAUCGAAUAUAGAAAAACUAAUAUUUCUGAAUGCCAAUGGUACCUGUGAUUAGUGCUGAAAAUUCUGGAACCGUGUGAGGUUUCCUUCCAUGGAGGUAACUAGGCACUUUCAACACAAGCAAACAAGACCACACAACUGUAUGAUGCCUAGCAAAAUGUAAAAUAUGUAACUGGGCACAUUCAACACAAGCAAACAAGACCACACAACUGUAUGAUGCCUAGCAAAAUGUAAAAUAUGUAACUGGGCACUUUCAACACAAGCAAACAAGACCACACAACUGUAUGAUGCCUAGCAAAAUGUAAAAUAUGUAACUGGGCACUUUCAACACAAGCAAACAAGACCACACAACUGUAUGAUGCCUAGCAAAAUGUAAAAUAUGUAACUGGGCACUUUCAACACAAGCAAACAAGACCACACAACUGUAUGAUGCCUAGCAAAAUGUAAAAUAUAUACCUUUCACUUCCUGCAAGUAUUUCACUGUGGCAUAAAUAAAGGUGACAGAGGAACAGGUCAUACUGGGAGCAGUAGGUCUGUGACUUGGAUGGAGCACAGUUACUGAUUUGAUGCCAUUAAGGCACAAGGCUUUUUAAUGAUUAAAAUGGUGAGUGAAUGUAAGUACUGGAAGUGUUAUUUCUGUAUACUAAAACCUGCUGCUUUAAGUUAUGUUUCAGAAAUAUCUUGAGCACCUCGACUUGAAAAAUAACAGGAAUACCAUCUAGAAUAUUACAAGUGAGGACAGUCAGUCAAUGAUAAUCCAUGAGCUUAGGCUGAAGGAAAAAAAUUCUAUACAUGUAAUAAAAGUUGAUUGUAAUGUGUGAUG